GCCAGGCAUGGUGGUGCACACCUGUAAUCCCAGUGAUUUGGGAGGCUGGGGCAAGAGGAUCACAAGUUCAAAGCCAUCCUUAGCAACUUAGUGAGGCUGUAAGUAACUUAGUGAGACCCUGUCUCAA
rnacentral:sRNA from 1 species